CCUACGGGUGGCUGCAGUGGGGAAUAUUGGACAAUGGGGGCAACCCUGAUCCAGCCAUGCCGCGUGUGUGAAGAAGGCCCUCGGGUUGUAAAGCACUUUCAGUGAGGAAGAACGCCUGGUGGUUAAUACCCAUCAGGAAAGACAUCACUCACAGAAGAAGCACCGGCUAACUCCGUGCCAGCAGCCGCGGUAAUACGGAGGGUGCGAGCGUUAAUCGGAAUUACUGGGCGUAAAGCGCGCGUAGGUGGCUUGAUAAGCCGGUUGUGAAAGCCCCGGGCUCAACCUGGGAACGGCAUCCGGAACUGUCAAGCUAGAGUGCUGGAGAGGAAGGUAGAAUUCCCGGUGUAGCGGUGAAAUGCGUAGAGAUCGGGAGGAAUACCAGUGGCGAAGGCGGCCUUCUGGACUGACACUGACACUGAGGUGCGAAAGCGUGGGUAGCAAACAGGAUUAGAUACCCCGGUAGUC
rnacentral:rRNA from 1 species